ACACGCAGCAAAAGGGCGUCUGGGGGAUGCCUAAGGCUUCUGAUGGCGAUGAAGGACGUGGCAAGCGACGAAACAUUGCGGGGACCCGCUGGCAGGGGCUGAUCCGCAGGUGUCCGAAUGGGGCAACCCGGUGGUUUGAAGAACCAUCACUCUGUAAAGAGGGCAAACGCGGAGAACUGAAACAUCUAAGUACCCGCAGGAAGAGAAAACAAUUGUGAUUCCCUGAGUAGUGGCGAGCGAACGGGGAAGAGCCCAAACCAUCUACGUUACGGCGUAGGCGGGGUAGUAGGACCCGACAUCAAAUCAACAACCGAACACGAAUGACUUGGGAAAGUCAACCACAGGGGGUGAGAGUCCCGUAGUGGUCAGGGCGUUGAUGGGUUGGGGAUCCUGAGUAGGGGGGAACCGGAGAAAUUCCCUCUGAAUCGGCCGGCACCAUCCGGUAAGGCUAAAUACAAUCAGAAGACCGAUAGCGCAGAGUACCGUGAGGGAAAGGUGAAAAGUACGGGGAGUACCCGGGUGAAAUAGAUCCUGAAACCAGGCGCUUACAAGCGGUUGGAGCGUCCAGUGUGGCGUGACAGCGUGCCUUUUGCAUAAUGAGCCUACGAGUAACCGUCACUGGCGAGGUUAAUCUUUUUGAAAAGAGAAGCCGAAGCGAAAGCGAGUCUGAACAGGGCGUCUAGUCAGUGGGGGUUGACGCGAAACUUGGUGAUCUAUCCCUGGCCAGGCUGAAGGGGUGGUAACACACCGUGGAGGGCCGAACCGAUAAGCGUUGAAAAGCUUCCGGAUGAGCUGGGGAUAGGGGUGAAAGGCCAAUCAAACUGAGAAAUAGCUCGUACUCUCCGAAAUGUUUUUAGGAACAGCGUUACGUGUUACUGUCUGUGAGGUAGAGCGACCAACAGGAUGCGGGGGAGUCACAUCCUACCAACUUCUGAUGAACUCCGAAUGCGCAGAGAGGUGCGUGGCAGUGAGGGCUUGGGUGCUAAGGUCCAAGUCCGAGAGGGGAACAACCCAGACCAUCAGCUAAGGUCCCUAAGUGUGUGCUAAGUUGAACAAAGGCGGUCCGGCUGGGGGCGGGCGUCGAUAAUAAACGGGCAUCAAGCACAUCACCGAAGCUAUGGACCUAUACUUUGAGUAUAGUGUGGUAGGAGAGCAUUCCAUGGGGGGUGAAGUUGGGGCGUGAGCCCUGGUGGACCGCAUGGAAAAGCAAAUGUAGGCAUAAGUAACGAGAAUGAGGAUGAGAACUCCUCACACCGAAAAGCUAAGGUUUCCUCCGCGAUGGCAGUCAUCGGAGGGUUAGUCGGGGUCUAAGGAGCAGGCGAAGGCCGGGCUUUGAGGGGGAAGUGGUUAAUAUUCCACUACUAUCUACGCAGGCAAUAUCCAUGACGGAGUGCCGAAGGUGUUACGUCCUGACGGAAUAGGGCGUUGAGAUGAGGCUUCGGCUGAGUCUGGAUACCCGUACCGUAAACCGACACAGGUAGCUGGGAAGAAUAUUCUAAGGUGCGCGAAAGAAUCAUGGUUAAGGAACUCGGCAAAAUUACCCUGUAACUUCGGGAUAAGGGGGGCCUACUCCGCGAGGGGAGGCUGCAGAGAAGACGCCCAGGCGACUGUUUACCAAAAACACAGGACUCUGCCAAAAUGAAAGUUGACGCAUAGGGUCUGACACCUGCCCGGUGCUGGAAGGUUAAGGGGGGAGCUUAGUCGCAAGGCGAAGGUUUGAACUGAAGCCCCAGUAAACGGCGGCCGUAACUAUAACGGUCCUAAGGUAGCGAAAUUCCUUGUCGGGUAAGUUCCGACCUGCACGAAUGGUGUAACGAUCUGGGCACUGUCUCAACCAUGAGUUCGGUGAAAUUGUAGUAGCGGUGAAGAUGCCGCUUACCCGCCACGGGACGGAAAGACCCCGUGCACCUUUACUACAGCUUAACAUUGAAUGCCGGUCAGUCAUGUGUAGGAUAGGCGGGAGGAGUUGAAGUGGCGUCGCCAGGCGUCGUGGAUCCAACCUUGAAAUACCGCCCUUGGCUUACUGGCGUUCUAACUGGGAACAGGACGGUGUUUGGUGGGUAGUUUGACUGGGGUGGUCACCUCCGAAAGGGUAACGGAGGUUUCCCAAGGUUGGCUCAUACCGGACGGUAAUCGGUAGGGGAGUGCAAUAGCAGAAGCCAGCUUGACAGUGAGGCCUACAAGCCGAUCUGGGACGAAAGUCGGGUAUAGUGAUCCGGUGGUUCCGCAUGGAAGGGCCAUCGCUCAAAGGAUAAAAGGUACGCCGGGGAUAACAGGCUGAUCUCCCCCAAGAGCUCACAUCGACGGGGAGGUUUGGCACCUCGGGGUUCAGAACGUCGUGAGACAGUUCGGUCCCUAUCUGUGGUGGGCGUGGGAAUACUGACGGGAUCUGUCCUUAGUACGAGAGGACCGGGAUGGACUCACCGCUGGCGGAUCAGUUAUCAUGCCGGUGGUAUGGCUGAGUAGCUACGUGGGGAUCAGAUAAGCGCUGAAAGCAUCUAAGUGCGAAACUGGCCUGAAGAUGAGUGUUCCGGUAUAAAGGGGUGUUGGAGACGACGACGUUGAUAGGCGGCAGGUGUCAGCGGUGAGAGCCGUUUAGCCGAGCCGUACUAAUGGCCCCGGUCGCGUGUUUA
rnacentral:rRNA from 1 species